UAGGGAAUCUUCGGCAAUGGACGAAAGUCUGACCGAGCAACGCCGCGUGAGUGAAGAAGGUUUUCGGAUCGUAAAACUCUGUUGUUAGAGAAGAACAAGGACGUUAGUAACUGAACGUCCCCUGACGGUAUCUAACCAGAAAGCCACGGCUAACUACGUGCCAGCAGCCGCGGUAAUACGUAGGUGGCAAGCGUUGUCCGGAUUUAUUGGGCGUAAAGCGAGCGCAGGCGGUUUCUUAAGUCUGCUGUGAAAGCCCCCGGCUCAACCGGGGAGGGUUAUUGGAAGAUGGGGUACGUGAGUGCAGAAGAGGAGAGUGGAAGUCCAUGUGUAGCGGUGAAAUGCGUAGAUAUAUGGAGGAACACCAGUGGCGAAGGCGGCUCUCUGGUCUGUAACUGACGCUCAGGUGCGAAGGCGUGGGGAGCAAACAGG
rnacentral:rRNA from 1 species